rnacentral:rRNA from 1 species
CACGCAGGGGGCAAGCGUUGUCCGGAUUUAUUGGGCGUAAAGAGCUCGUAGGUGGUUCGGUAAGUCAGGUGUGAAACCUCCAGGCUCAACCUGGAGACGCCACUUGAUACUGCUGUGACUGGAGUCCGGUAGGGGAGCGUGGAAUUCCUGGUGUAGCGGUGAAAUGCGCAGAUAUCAGGAGGAACACCUAUGGCGAAGGCAGCUCGCUGGGACGGUACUGACGCUGAGGCGCGAAAGCGUGGGGAGCGAACAGG